rnacentral:lncRNA from 1 species
AACAAACAAGGUCCAGGGGCAGGGGGUAGUUCGGCUGGGUGGGGUGGACUGGCCAGACACAAACAAACAAUACAAACAAGCGUCUAUGUGUGUGAGGGUGAUCGGGUGCAACCAGGCUGGUUGUUUGAUUAGAGGAUGAUGUCAGCUUAGUCUCACAUCUAGAUGCAACAUAGACAGACCCUAUUCAGGACCUCUUAACUGGCUUUAUCCUCUCUUUUAACCUGUCAAUUAUUUCCGUCUCGGUGUUUAAUUCUGUCUCAUUGGGUUGGAACUGCAGGAGCCAUGCCCUUGAUUCUUGCUCCGAAAGUGGACCUGGAGAAAUUUUUGGUUCGACGAUGUAAGAUACUCCCUCCGUUCCGAAUUACUUGUCUUAGAUUUGUUUAAAUACGGAUGUAUCUAGCAUUAAAAUGAGUCUAAAUACAUCAGUAUCUAGACAAAUUCAAGACAAGUAAUUCGGAACGGAGGGAGUAUUACUUAGUGCGUUUGGUCAUGGUACUGUUUCCCCAAAGGUGGUUAUUUCUUCAUUUUUGAAUCAUGCUUGUUGUGUGCUGAUGGUGCGUGAGGAACGCCAUGGUUCUUCUCUGAAUCAUUUGGUAGUUCUCUCAAUCUUGUGCAUUUUGUUCUCUAAAACAUGUGGUAUUUCUAGGUGCACAGCAUGUUGUGUGGUGGAUAGGGGAAGCUGAGGCGACGACUGGCGACUGUUCUCUUUACAACUGGCGUGGUUGAGAGGCUAGGGAGUAGGUCAUUUUGCUAUUUGGUCAGCGAUGGAGAUGAAUUCGGGAGAGAUGUGGCUGGGAGUUGUACCGGUCAUUUUUCUGUCUCUAUAUUAUCCAUUUGCACUAAUCGGUAACAGUUUUUUGAGCAGGCAAUAGUGUAGCAUGCAUGAACAGAAAAAUUGUAUAAGGCGAGGAGGACAAUCUGAGCGACCAACAUUAUGUUUUUUUACAGAACGACCAACAUUAUGUUGAGUAUUGAGAUGUAGGUAAGGCACGUAUAAUCUGAAUUGAGCCAUAUGGAGGGCAUGUAUAGUCUGUAUGUGCAGUCUUAAUUGUAUGUUGAAUUCUUCGCUACUAGGAAAAGGGCUAUAGCUAAUAUGGUAUAGCAGUGGCGCACCAUGUGUAGGUACGCCAUUAAUGUCCAUAUCACUAAUGGCGUACCACACCCAUGGUGCGCCAUUACUAACAUUUUUUUUCCAAAACUAGUAAUGGCGCACCACACACUCUGUGCGUCACUACUAACAAUUUUUUUUAUUUUUUUUCAAAACUAGUAAUGGCGCAUUAGUGUAUAGUGCGCCAUUACUAGUUCAAACUAGUAAUGGCGCACCACAACCAUGGUGCGCCACUACUAACAUUUUUUUUACUUUUUUGCAAAAACUAGUAAUGGCGCAUCACAUAAUAGGUGCGCCAUUUAAAAGAUCGUGAAUGU